AUCGAAUAACCAGUAUAACCAGACUUAAUUAGUGAUACAGUCUAAAUGGAAUUUAAUCUAUUAAUGUAAUCUUCAACAUUUCGAAAUAGAUCAACAGGAAGUCAAUGCAGUGCACUCAGGUAAGAAGUAGCAGAAUGGUGUUUUGCGUAGAACUAUUUGCUGCAGAUUAGACUAAUGAUUUAGAAUGGCAUUAUAGUAGUGAAGGCGAGAAAUUAAUAAUGCCACAUCUGGCUUUUAAAGCUGUCAACCAUGGUUUGAUCUGGCCUAAUCUACACAGCUGCAGAUAGACACCCUUGCAGUGCUGACUUAUGUGUGGGUAUAAAGACAUUGAGUCAGAGAAAAUCCAAGAUUAUGAACUACAUGGACAAAGGGAUGAAUGGUGAAUCUGUACUCUCCACUUUUGUAAUGUAUGAGUGCUAAUUUUAAUUACAUCUGAUUGUUAUCUGUUUUUUCAAACAUUGAAAGUAAUCUUUAAGAUAAUAAGCACUAUGGUAGUAAUUAAUAAGUAAUUAUACAUAAUAAUCAAUAAGAUUUAUUUUGUUUUAUUUUUCCUGACAACACGUUUAUCUAGAGUCGCCAUGUUCAUCCAUGCAUGCCCUUUUACACAAUAAAUUGAUUAAUAAAGUUGUUUUCAUUGUAGAAAAUGUAUUUGUUUUUAAUGUUUAAUAAAAUUCAGUUGUACAUUACAAAUUCUAGUGUUGAGGAAAUAAUUAUUUCAUAAUACUAUAUUGUUUUCCACCUAUUUAGAAUAUGUGAUGUGAUGCUUCUUACAUCUAUAUUUACACACAAACAUUUCUUUCAAUGACAACAUUUUUAUAGUAUUAAAAACAAACAAUAAAUAAAAUACCAAUUUUAUUUUGAUAUAGAGUGAAUCUUUGUAUAAAAAGAAAAACUUUAUUUAGGAUUUUAUCUAUCUUUGGCAGUUCAUGUUAGUGGAUUGGCUCUCUUCAUUGUUUAUAUUGAUCAGUGCUGUAACUUACAAAAAAUAUGUAUAAUUAUAGCCUAUGAAUAUAUAUCUUACAUGGAUCUUAAUUGAAACUAUAAACAUCAUAAAAUAUGUUGAUAAUACUUGGAAAUGAAAUGAUUUGAAUUUAACACCAGCAUACACUGGUCUCAAUAGGAAUACAUAUAAAAUAUACAUGCAUAUGAGUCACCACAUACAUAUGUGAUUAAAUGAGCAGUUCAUAUAAUCUCUCAACAGCAUAUCACAUUGGGUUCCACUUGAGCCAUAAACAUGUGAUUUAAAACAACCGUAUUAAUUUUUUACAAGAAUGAUCAUAAAAAAGAUGUCAAAUGCAUAUUACCUAAACCCAAAACUGUAGCUAGUUCUAACUACUUCAUUGUGAUAAUAUUCUUUAUAAACAUUUUUUUUUCACACUUUAAACCAUCAUUAUUAAUUCUAA